rnacentral:rRNA from 1 species
UACGUAGGCAGCAAGCGUUGUUCGGAAUUACUGGGCGUAAAGAGUGUGUAGGCGGUGUUCCAAGUCUGGUGUGAAAUCUCCCGGCUUAACUGGGAGGGUGCAUUAGAAACUGGAAUGCUAGAGGAUGGGAGAGGUAAGCGGAAUUCCUGGUGUAGCGGUGAAAUGCGUAGAUAUCAGGAGGAACACCUGUGGUGUAGACAGCUUACUGGACCAUUCUGACGCUGAGACACGAAAGCGUGGGCAGCAAACAGG